rnacentral:misc_RNA from 1 species
GAUGAAGAACGUAGCGAAAUGCGAUAAGUAAUGUGAAUUGCAUAAUUCAGUGAAUCAUCGAAUCUUUGAACGCACAUUGCGCCCCCUGGUAUUCCGGGGGGCAUGCCUGUUCGAGCGUCAUUUCACCACUCAAGCCUCGCUUGGUAUUGGGCAACGCGGUCCGCCGCGUGCCUCAAAUCGACCGGCUGGGUCUUCUGUCCCCUAAGCGUUGUGGAAACUUUCGCUAAAGGGUGUUCGGGAGGCUACGCCGUAAAACAACCCCAUUUCUAAGGUUGACCUCGGAUCAGGUAGGGAUACCCGCUGAACUUAAGCAUAUCAAUAAGCGGAGGA